UACGGAGGGGGCUAGCGUUGUUCGGAAUUACUGGGCGUAAAGCGCACGUAGGCGGCUUUGUAAGUUAGAGGUGAAAGCCCGGGGCUCAACUCCGGAAUUGCCUUUAAGACUGCAUCGCUAGAAUUGUGGAGAGGUAAGUGGAAUUCCGAGUGUAGAGGUGAAAUUCGUAGAUAUUCGGAAGAACACCAGUGGCGAAGGCGACUUACUGGACACAUAUUGACGCUGAGGUGCGAAGGUCAGGGGAGCAAACGGG
rnacentral:rRNA from 1 species